rnacentral:lncRNA from 1 species
AUGCGCUUUCAUAGUUACGAGUGCCUCGUCAAUGCUUAUGAUUUUCAUAGAACUUACUGAUCCUUGCUUGAAUCUCUAUUAUGUGCUUUCAUGUAGGGAACUUGUGGGGAAUGCUUUGGGUUGUCGUAUGCAAUUCAUCCAAUUCAAUAACUUAAGGAAAAUUUGAGGGUUAAUUUAAGCGGACCUAAUUAACUUGGGGCGUUGAGAAUUCAUGGUUUAUUGAGAAGCAAUUGGAAAUCGUUUUGUAUGCAAGUGUGACAUGUGUGGAGAAGAACCCCUUAGCUAGCUUUCCAUCCAUUCACUUUAACCAAAUUCGUUUUAGAAUCUGUUCAAUUUACAAAGUUUUGUUUUGUUUUCAAUUUUCGUCAAAAUCAAUCCCCCUUUACUUUGUUAAGUCAUAUUAGUUAGAAAUCAAUUUAGUUUGUGUUUUUAAGUGUCUUGAGUCAAGUUAAAACCAAUUUUCGUCCAAAUUCUUCCUUAGUGUUCAAAACUGCCCAGAAAGUGUUUUUUAUGCAGUUUUGAGUGUUUGCUUGCUGUUUUGAGUCUUUGGCUUUGUUUUGGUGUUUUAUAGUUUAGUUUUGCAUUCUUUGAGGCUAGUUUAGUGUUUUAAACUUUGUUUUUACGUUUUGAGUCAAUUUUCAAGUGAUUUAGCAAUCCCUCCUAAUCCCCGGCCUAGAACAAUCCCUACUUACAUUCCAUACUACAAUUGAUAAAAAGAGGGUUUAAUUUGAGUGCUAGUUAAUAUCAUAUCAGGAAGAAACUUGUUGUACAAGAGGUUAAUUAUUUUAAAGUUUUAUGCCCAACUUGUGCUGCCCAAUGAUCAAGCCGUUCAGGAUGUAACCGUACAUGAGGUCCUCAUUUGGUAAUGAUUCACCAAAUUAAGUUUCUGUGCGUGGGAUUAAUACAUGUUUUUUGGUUCUCAAUUCUUUGUAGAAUGUCUGUAAGAUUGGAUGUGGGAGUGUGAUAAGUACAUGUUUUUUGGAACACAAAUGUGUGUAGAAUGUCUUUAACAUUCGAUGUGGGUGUUGGAUGAUAACAUAUUUUUUGGUUCUCAAAUGUUCAAACAACGUUUAAGAUUGCCUGUGAGAGUGGUGAAAUGUUUCUGUGUACUUGUUAGAUUUUGGGUCAAUGGUGACUAUGAAAAUUGAUUUUGUGCUUCUGGAAAGAUCUAAUUAAUAAGAUUGCAGCAGAUCGGACACAAAUAUUCAUAACUACUCAUAAACCAACACACAAACAAAAUCAUCAAAUUUCACACCCCAUUAAAUGUCGCUGCAUACAAACUGAAUAAUUUCUAGCAACCACAACACAACCUUAAUGUAGUUGUAGAAAAAGGCUAACGAUUUCGUCGAAAUUUGAAACCAACUAGCUGUAAACUGUAUACAAACUGAAUAUAUCUACAACAAACUAUCAUAUAUCUGUCAUGUCCAUGCAAAUUUUUGUUGGUGUAGAUAAUCUAAUGACAUCUAAAUUCAUCUCCUAUAAAUACAAGCCAAGAACAAUACAGGUCCCAACACUUACUUUGCAACCAUUGCAACCAUAGAUUUUUGUUGGAGUGUUCUAAAAAUCUGACCGAUCAAAUUGCACAAGCUUUCAGAAAUUACUCAUGGUCUAUAACUGUGUGGCAUUAAUUGUGUGAGGAACAUGGGACCACAUUGGUUGCGUUACAACAAAAGCUGAACAAGGUGCUGUACAAAUCAGCCAAGUACAAACGCUAAAUACAUAGCAGCAAGCGUAUGAUGAACUAAUCCUAAAAGAGAAGGAAGAUGUACAUUGUAGGCCAAUCACUUUAUGGGUGACAAAGUAGCUCUAACAAGAGUGUUUCUCAACUUUCUUUGAUGGGUUUGAGAAAUUUCGUUCGUAUCUCCAUCGUAACUGCAAGAGAUAUGAUUGGGCCACAUUUUCCCCUCACACAUGGAGGACAUCGCAAGAGAUGGUGAUGAUUACAAGGAGCACGAGAACGUACAAGUGGCUCACAAGCCACCCAAGGAUCCUUAGAGGAAGAUAUUCCUUUUUAUAUAUUUACUACUCAUUUUCAUGUACAUUUUGCGUAUUCUUUGAAGUAUAUUGCAAUGUCAAGCUUUUGUAAGUGACUCAAGUGUUAUGUCAUAAACGUUCAUAAGCUGUCACACAUAUUCAUAUACAUUCAUCAUAUGUCAUAGUUUGUAUAGCACAAUUUCCAACAUUGGUGUGGCACUGAAACUUUCUAAAACAACCAUGGCCACAAAAAAAUAAUAGUUCAUCCUCAUCCAAUUACACUUCAAUAUCUAUCUAUUAUAGAACUUCACAAAUGUAGCACAAUGUAUCACAACCCAUUACAAGUUUUACACAUAUAUAUCUAAAUUCCAAAUUCACAAUUACAACCAAGUAUAGUCUAAACCACCCACCAUUAUGGAUUCAAAUCCCUAAUUUAUAAAAACCCAAUGAAAUCGAGUCCUUUCAUUAGCUCAUGAUAGGAGCAUAUUUAUGUGACUUAGUUAGCUUGUUUCUUGGCAUUUAUGUUGUUAGUUCGUAGUUAUUUUAGUAUUUUAAGCUAUUUUCGUGUGUUUGUAGGUCCAAAGGGUUAAUGUGGCAAAGAAGUGCAUUUUGGAGCAUUUUGGAGCAUUUUUGGGCAUGGAAUGGAUAGCAUAUGCUUGGAGCAAAAGGAAUGGACGAAAUUUGAAGUUUGUGCAUCAUCCUCUCCCUAUAAAUAACCAUUUUAGCGCACUCAUUUCACCCAACACAUUCACCUACCACUACAUCCACUCAUUUCACCCAACACAUCCACUCAUUACAACCACCCAAAACAUUCACCUACCACUA